GACGAACGCUGGCGGCGUGCCUAAUACAUGCAAGUCGAGCGGAUUGAUGGGAGCUUGCUCCCAUCAGUCAGCGGCGGACGGGUGAGUAACACGUGGGUAACCUGCCUGUAAGACUGGGAUAACUCCGGGAAACCGGGGCUAAUACCGGAUAACUCAUUUCCUCGCAUGAGGAAAUGUUGAAAGGUGGCUUUUAGCUAUCACUUACAGAUGGACCCGCGGCGCAUUAGCUAGUUGGUGAGGUAACGGCUCACCAAGGCGACGAUGCGUAGCCGACCUGAGAGGGUGAUCGGCCACACUGGGACUGAGACACGGCCCAGACUCCUACGGGAGGCAGCAGUAGGGAAUCUUCCGCAAUGGACGAAAGUCUGACGGAGCAACGCCGCGUGAGUGAUGAAGGUUUUCGGAUCGUAAAACUCUGUUGUUAGGGAAGAACAAGUACCGUUCGAAUAGGGC
rnacentral:rRNA from 1 species